rnacentral:lncRNA from 1 species
GGCAGCCUCAGUUCAAGGAGCAGUCUCCAUGUAACACGGGCAUAGGCAAGAGAAAAGAGAAAAGUUUCUUCGUUUGUCUUUUUCCAUUUCCUUUUGUCUUUUUUUUUUUUUGAUACCAGAGAUUGAACUCGGGGCAUUCAAUCACUGAGCCCCCCCCCCCCCCCCGUCUUCUUUUCUAUUUCAUUUAGAGACAGGGUCUCACAGAAUUGCUUAGUGCCUCGCCCUUGCUGAGGCUGGCUUUGAACUCGCGAUCCUCCUGCCCCUGCCUCCCAAGCCACUGGGGUUAUAGGUGAGUGUCUGGCUCCCUUUUCCUUUCUUUCUUUUUUUAACCAAGUGGUUUAAUCAAAUGUGUUUCGUUUUGUUUUGUUUUUUAAUUUUGAGGUAGCUGUAGACUCCCAGAAAGUUUGUAAAAAUGGGGUUGAGAUUUCCCACACAGCAC